rnacentral:rRNA from 1 species
GAGUGAACGCUGGCGGUAGGCCUAACACAUGCAAGUCGAACGGCAGCACAGUAGGAGCUUGCUCUUACGGGUGGCGAGUGGCGGACGGGUGAGGAAUACAUCGGAAUCUACUUUUUCGUGGGGGAUAACGUAGGGAAACUUACGCUAAUACCGCAUACGACCUACGGGUGAAAGCAGGGGAUCUUCGGACCUUGCGCGAUUGAAUGAGCCGAUGUCGGAUUAGCUAGUUGGCGGGGUAAAGGCCCACCAAGGCGACGAUCCGUAGCUGGUCUGAGAGGAUGAUUAGCCACACUGGAACUGAGACACGGUCCAGACUCCUACGGGAGGCAGCAGUGGGGAAUAUUGGACAAUGGGCGCAAGCCUGAUCCAGCCAUACCGCGUGGGUGAAGAAGGCCUUCGGGUUGUAAAGCCCUUUUGUUGGGAAAGAAAAGCAGCAGGUUAAUACCCCGCUGUUCUGACGGUACCCAAAGAAUAAGCACCGGCUAACUUCGUG